UACGUAGGGUGCAAGCGUUAAUCGGAAUUACUGGGCGUAAAGCGUGCGCAGGCGGUUUUUGUAAGUCUGUCGUGAAAUCCCCGGGCUCAACCUGGGAAUUGCGAUGGAGACUGCAAGGCUAGAAUCUGGCAGAGGGGGGUAGAAUUCCACGUGUGAGCAGUGAAAUGCGUAGAGAUGUGGAGGAACACCGAUGGCGAAGGCG
rnacentral:rRNA from 1 species